GAUGAACGCUAGCUACAGGCUUAACACAUGCAAGUCGAGGGGCAGCAUAGAUGCAGCAAUGUAUUUGAUGGCGACCGGCGCACGGGUGAGUAACACGUAUCCAACCUUCCAUUAACAUGGGGAUAGCCUUCUGAAAGGAAGAUUAAUACCCAAUAGUAUCAUAUCACCGCAUGAUGAUAUGAUUAAAGAAUUUCGGUAAACGAUGGGGAUGCGUUCCAUUAGCUUGUUGGUGAGGUAACGGCUCACCAAGGCAUCGAUGGAUAGGGGUUCUGAGAGGAAGGUCCCCCACACUGGUACUGAGACACGGACCAGACUCCUACGGGAGGCAGCAGUGAGGAAUAUUGGUCAAUGGACGAGAGUCUGAACCAGCCAAGUAGCGUGAAGGAUGAAGGUUCUAUGGAUUGUAAACUUCUUUUAUGAGGGAAUAAAGUGACCUACGUGUAGGUUUUUGUAUGUACCUUAUGAAUAAGCAUCGGCUAACUCCGUGCCAGCAGCCGCCGUAACAC
rnacentral:rRNA from 1 species